rnacentral:rRNA from 1 species
AUUGAACGCUGGCGGCAGGCUUAACACAUGCAAGUCGAACGGUAACAGGAGAAAGCUUGCUUUCUUGCUGACGAGUGGCGGACGGGUGAGUAAUGCUUGGGAAUCUGGCUUAUGGAGGGGGAUAACGACGGGAAACUGUCGCUAAUACCGCGUAGGAUCGAGAGAUGAAAGUGCGGGACCGCAAGGCCGCAUGCCAUAGGAUGAGCCCAAGUGGGAUUAGGUAGUUGGUGGGGUAAUGGCCUACCAAGCCGACGACCUCUAGCUGGUUGAGAGGAUGACCAGCCACCCGGGACUGAGACACGGCCCGGACUCCUACGGGAGGCAGCAGUGGGGAAUAUUGCGCAAUGGGGGCAACCCUGACGCAGCCAUGCCGCGUGAAUGAAGAAGGCCUUCGGGUUGUAAAGUUCUUUCGGUGACGAGGAAGGCGUGAUGUUUAAUAGGCAUCACGAUUGACGUUAAUCACAGAAGAAGCACCGGCUAACUCCGUGCCAGCAGCCGCGGUAAUACGGAGGGUGCGAGCGUUAAUCGGAAUAACUGGGCGUAAAGGGCACGCAGGCGGCUAUUUAAGUGAGGUGUGAAAUCCCCGGGCUUAACCUGGGAAUUGCAUUUCAGACUGGGUAGCUAGAGUACUUUAGGGAGGGGUAGAAUUCCACGUGUAGCGGUGAAAUGCGUAGAGAUGUGGAGGAAUACCGAAGGCGAAGGCAGCCCCUUGGGAAUGUACUGACGCUCAUGUGCGAAAGCGUGGGGAGCAAACAGGAUUAGAUACCCUGGUAGUCCACGCUGUAAACGCUGUCGAUUUGGGGAUUGGGCCUUGAGCUUGGUGCCCGAAGCUAACGUGAUAAAUCGACCGCCUGGGGAGUACGGCCGCAAGGUUAAAACUCAAAUGAAUUGACGGGGGCCCGCACAAGCGGUGGAGCAUGUGGUUUAAUUCGAUGCAACGCGAAGAACCUUACCUACUCUUGACAUCCAUGGGAUCUUGUAGAGAUAUGAGAGUGCCUUCGGGAACCAUGAGACAGGUGCUGCAUGGCUGUCGU